CAUGUAUAAGUAUAAACUAACUUAAAGUGAAACCGCGAAUGGCUCAUUAAAUCAGUUAUGGUUUAUUAGAUCGUACAACCCACAUGGAUAACUGUGGUAAUUCUAGAGCUAAUACAUGCUAAAAAGUCGAAUCGCGAGGUUCGACCGCUUUUAUUAGAACAAAAACUAACGUUUUUGGUGACUCUGGAUAACUUUGUGCCGAUCGCACGGUCUCGUACCGGCGACGUAUCUUUCAAAUGUCUGCCUUAUCAACUGUCGAUGGUAGGUUAUGCGCCUACCAUGGUCGUAACGGGUAACGGAGAAUCAGGGUUCGAUUCCGGAGAGGGAGCCUGAGAAACGGCUACCACAUCCAAGGAAGGCAGCAGGCGCGCAAAUUACCCACUCCCGGCACGGGGAGGUAGUGACGAUAAAUAACAAUGCAGGUCUCUUUCGAGACCCUGUAAUUGGAAUGAGAUCACUUUAAAUCCUUUAACGAGGAUCUAUUGGAGGGCAAGUCUGGUGCCAGCAGCCGCGGUAAUUCCAGCUCCAAAAGCGUAUAUUAAAGUUGUUGCAGUUAAAAAGCUCGUAGUUGGAUCUCGGGUAACGGUGAGAAGCCCGCUUAACCGCGAUCGUUUCUCAGUCCGACCUACUAUUCGUCCUCCCCUCGAUGCUCUUCACUGAGUGUCUUGGGUAGACGGAACUUUUACUUUGAAAAAAUUAGAGUGCUCAAAGCAGGCUCGAAGCCUCGAAUAUCGAUGCAUGGAAUAAUGGAAUAGGACCUCGGUUCUAUUUUGUUGGUUUUCGGAAACCGAGGUAAUGAUUAAGAGGAACGGACGGGGGCAUCCGUACUGUGGCGCUAGAGGU
rnacentral:rRNA from 1 species